rnacentral:rRNA from 1 species
GUAUAAGCAAUUAUACCGUGAAACUGCGAAUGGCUCAUUAAAUCAGUUAUCGUUUAUUUGAUAGUACCUUACUACUUGGAUAACCGUGGUAAUUCUAGAGCUAAUACAUGCUAAAAACCCCAACUUCGGGAGGGGUGUAUUUAUUAGAUAAAAAACCAAUGCCCUUCGGGGCUCCUUGGUGAUUCAUGAUAACUUCUCAGAUCGCAUGGCUUUACGCCGGCGACGGUUCAUUCAAAUUUCUGCCCUAUCAACUUUCGAUGGUAAGGUAUUGGCUUACCAUGGUUUCAACGGGUAACGGGGAAUUAGGGUUCGAUUCCGGAGAGGGAGCCUGAGAAACGGCUACCACAUCCAAGGAAGGCAGCAGGCGCGCAAAUUACCCAAUUCCGAUACGGAGAGGUAGUGACAAUAAAUACUGAUACAGGGCUCUUUUGGGUCUUGUAAUUGGAAUGAGUACAAUUUAAACCUCUUAACGAGGAACAAUUGGAGGGCAAGUCUGGUGCCAGCAGCCGCGGUAAUUCCAGCUCCAAUAGCGUAUAUUAAAGUUGUUGCAGUUAAAAAGCUCGUAGUUGAACCUUUGGCCUGGCUGGCAGGUCCGCCUCACCGCGUGCACUUGUCCGGCCGGGCCUUUUCUUCUGGAGAACCGCAUGCCCUUCACUGGGUGUGUUGGGGACCAGGACUUUUACUUUGAAAAAAUUAGAGUGUUCAAAGCAGGCCUUUGCUCGAAUACGUUAGCAUGGAAUAAUAGAAUAGGACGUGCGGUCCUAUUUUGUUGGUUUCUAGGACCGCCGUAAUGAUUAAUAGGGACAGUCGGGGGCAUCAGUAUUCAAUUGUCAGAGGUGAAAUUCUUGGAUUUAUUGAAGACUAACUACUGCGAAAGCAUUUGCCAAGGAUGUUUUCAUUAA